CUUUGGGAUAACCCUCGGAAACGGGAGCUAAUACCGAAUAUUACUUCUGGCCGCAUGGCUGGGGGUGGAAAGUUUUUCGGCUUGGGAUGGGCACGCGGCCUAUCAGCUUGUUGGUGGGGUGAUGGCCUACCAAGGCGACGACGGGUAGCCGGCCUGAGAGGGCGACCGGCCACACUGGGACUGAGACACGGCCCAGACUCCUAUGGGAGGCAGCAGUGGGGAAUAUUGCACAAUGGGCGGAAGCCUGAUGCAGCGACGCCGCGUGAGGGAUGACGGCCUUCGGGUUGUAAACCUCUUUCAGCAGGGACGAAGCGGAAGUGACGGUACCUGCAGAAGAAGCGCCGGCCAACUACGCGCCAGCAGCCGCGGUAAGACGUAGGGCGCGAGCAUUGUCCGGAUUUAUUGGGCGUAAAGAGCUCGUAGGCGGCUUGUCGCGUCGACCGUGAAAACUUGGGGCUCAACCCCAAGCCUGCGGUCGAUACGGGCAGGCUAGAGUUCGGUAGGGGAGACUGGAAUUCCUGGUGUAGCGGUGAAAUGCGCAGAUGUCAGGAGGAACACCGGUGGCGAAGGCGGGUCUCUGGGCCGAUACUGACGCUGAGGAGCGAAAGCGUGGGGAGCGAACAGGAUUAGAUACCCUGUAGUCCACGCUGUAAACGUUGGGCGC
rnacentral:rRNA from 1 species